rnacentral:rRNA from 1 species
AUGACAGCGCUAAAUCUUCCAGUUGAGGUCAUGAAAAAGAUUGAUUCCCUUCGACGUGAUUUCCUAUGGGCUGGGUGUGACAAGGUCACUGGUGGCAAUUGCAAGAUCAAUUGGGAGCAGGUGUGCAAGUCCAAGGUUCAUGGUGGCCUAGGUAUUUUGAUUCUGGACAAAUUUGCUACAGCUCUUAGAAUCCGCUGGCUUUCGGCAGAGUGGUUGGAUCCGGUCAAGCCUUGGGUUCAUCUGGGAAACCCAUAUGAUGAGAAUGAUAAAUAUAUCUUCGCGGCCACCACCAAGGUG